rnacentral:rRNA from 1 species
AUGAAGAGGCAGAGGACCCCCACUACUCUCCUGGCGCACGAGGUCGUGCGUCGAGGUGGAAGGAGACGGCACGCCGGUUGUGUGUGCAUGGCUGCCGCCUGGUCGCUCGAUCUACGUGGUGACCGCCGUCGCAUGAGUGGAGUGGAGGGGAUGAAAGGGAACACUGAUGUGAGAGGAGGCCGCCGGUUGUGCCGCCGUGCGGGCGAGAGUGGAGGGAGUGGAGUGGGUGAGGGAAAGGAGAGUGGAGAGGGAUCUAGGGAUUGUGUGCGUCACUGGAAAGGGGGAGUGGAGAGAGUGAGGGGAAGGACUUCGUGGGUGCUGGUUGCCCAUGAGAGGAACAACAGAAUGCGAGUGGGCUUGGGCUUCUUGGGGCCUUGGAUAAGCAACCUUUGUAAUAUAGGAGAUAUAGAUAUGGAUUUUGGAGAUACACAAAAAGAAUGUAUCGACAAGGGUUCCGAAGCGGCAACACUGAAAAGGGUCGGAAAAUCAUCGAGUUGUUCACAACAUAAUGAUGUGGAGGUGACAGACUAUGUUUGUACCCCUAGGGAUAUUACAUUCAUCGAAUCAAUCAUGUUUGCCCUCAAGAAAACCAAGUUCGUGGACAUUGAAGAUGCCUCGUUAUCAAACGAUGAUUUGCAAUGUCUUAUGAAGGAUGAUAUGUUCUUACACGAUGGUGAAUUGCAGGUGAUAAAUGCUUACAUAUAUUGCAUGCUGGCUCACGACCAUCUACGUGACACGGCAGGUGGAAAGGAGGAUAUCAAGCACUUUCGACGAAAAUUAGUUGUCAUUUUGCUCGAUUCAGAACUGAAUAAGCUAAAAGGAUGUCCAAUAUACUAUCAACCAGACAAUGAAGAAAAUUUAUCUAAUUCUGAUCUCGAGCUCCUAGAGAAUUCACCUGAUGGAGUCAAAGACAGACGUCCUAGCCCAAUCCCCAACAUGCCCACGGAUCAAUGUGAAUUGCUUGUCGGUCUCUGCAACUAUAUCAUGUCGAUCGAUGAUGCCAAGUGUUUAGACUCGACACCUCGUCCAAUGGGCUUAAGUCUCAAAAGACUUCCGAGUAUACUUUACAUGGAGCAGUCUAUGGACAAUGAUUGUUUCAACAUUGCUGUGCGUAUACUGGCAUGUGACGAGGGAGUAUUGUUCACGGACCCUCCAAUACACUACAUGGAUCUACAAUUUUAUUUUUUUACUCAGUCGAUCUUGCGGGAUUCAACACGAGAUCAAAAGUUCUGCGAUAAGGAAACUAUUCAGAAGUUGGCAAUAUUGUUUGAUACUUGGCCUGGGAUAGACAACAAUAUCUUAUCAUGCAACAUGAUUUAUCGUCCAUAUGAAUCCAUCGGUCGAUACAUCUUGUACGUCAUCGACAAAGAGGCAUGUCGUGUAUCUAUUCUGGACCCUAUUCGUACAACACAAUCGUCGGAGAUGAAAAUUUUGAGGCACUUCAUGAAUUAA